AUGAGUUAAAAGUUUCAUGUUUAAGUAAGAAGCGGAUUCGGAGUGAAAAAGGGUCUAAUAAUUCGUUUUAUUUCCAGACUUAAGAAAAUAUUUAGUUUUUGGGCCGAUUUUGUAUUUUUUCGGGUCGGUUGCUAUUAGGCCUGAAUUUUCUUGCUCUAUUUAAACAACUUAGUAGUUUUAGGAUUGAAGGAUUCAUCAUUCAUGAAAUAGAGAAUAAGGCAUACAAAUAUCAUGGAGAACUAAUUCCCAAAGAGUUGAUUUGCUAUAUUCGAAUUUCACUUUGAGAUUUCUUAAUUCGGUUGUUUCUUAUAUGAUAGAGUUGAUUAAAUUUG
rnacentral:lncRNA from 1 species